AUUGAACGCUGGCGGCAUGCUUUACACAUGCAAGUCGAACGGUAACAGGUUAAGCUGACGAGUGGCGAACGGGUGAGUAAUGCAUCGGAACGUGCCCGAUCGUGGGGGAUAACGCAGCGAAAGCUGCGCUAAUACCGCAUACGCUCUGAGGAUGAAAGAGGGGGACCGUAAGGCCUCGCGCGAUCGGAGCGGCCGAUGUCAGAUUAGGUAGUUGGUGGGGUAAAGGCUCACCAAGCCAACGAUCUGUAGCUGGUCUGAGAGGACGACCAGCCACACUGGGACUGGGACACGGCCCAGACUCCUACGGGAGGCAGCAGUGGGGAAUUUUGGACAAUGGGCGAAAGCCUGAUCCAGCAAUGCCGCGUGCAGGAAGAAGGCCUUCGGGUUGUAAACUGCUUUUGUACGGAGCGAAAAGGCUCUCUCUAAUACAGGGGGCUCAUGACGGUACCGUAAGAAUAAGCACCGGCUAACUACGUGCCAGCCGCCGCAGUAA
rnacentral:rRNA from 1 species